UUCCUGUGCCUGUUCCUGACUUGCAGGCAUAAUAAAAUGCAAUCAAUUGGCCUGUUUGCUCUGAGUAUUAUUACAGAGAACCUGCAUAUGUGUCCAUGGGCAAAGCACCUUUGCAGCUUCUUUCACAAUGCAGGAUUAAGACACCUGCCUCUUGGCACCACAACUCA